AGAGUUUGAUCCUGGCUCAGGACGAACGCUGGCGGCGUGCUUAACACAUGCAAGUCGAGCGGAAAGGCCCCUUCGGGGGUACUCGAGCGGCGAACGGGUGAGUAACACGUGAGCAACCUGCCCCUGACUCUGGGAUAAGCCUGGGAAACUGGGUCUAAUACCGGAUACGACCCGCCAUCGCAUGGUGUGCGGGUGGAAAGAUUUUUAUCGGUUGGGGAUGGGCUCGCGGCCUAUCAGCUUGUUGGUGGGGUGAUGGCCUACCAAGGCGACGACGGGUAACCGGCCUGAGAGGGCGACCGGUCACACUGGGACUGAGACACGGCCCAGACUCCUACGGGAGGCAGCAGUGGGGAAUAUUGCGCAAUGGGCGAAAGCCUGACGCAGCAACGCCGCGUGCGGGAUGACGGCCUUAGGGUUGUAAACCGCUUUCAGUGGGGACGAAAUUGACGGUACCCACAGAAGAAGCCCCGGCUAACUACGUGCCAGCAGCCGCGGUAAUAC
rnacentral:rRNA from 1 species